rnacentral:rRNA from 1 species
CACGUAGGGGGCAAGCGUUGUCCGGAUUUAUUGGGCGUAAAGAGCUCGUAGGCGGUUUGUCGCGUCUGCUGUGAAAACCCGAGGCUCAACCUCGGGCCUGCAGUGGGUACGGGCAAACUAGAGUGCGGUAGGGGAGAAUGGAAUUCCUGGUGUAGCGGUGGAAUGCGCAGAUAUCAGGAGGAACACCGAUGGCGAAGGCAGUUCUCUGGGCCGUAACUGACGCUGAGGAGCGAAAGCGUGGGGAGCGAACAGG